CUCGAAAUCACAGACCGUGAGAUCAUGACCUGAGCCGAAGUCGGACAUUCAACCGACGGAGCCACCCAGGCGCCCCUCUUUUAACUUUUUUAAUACACGUAAGAGAGAAAUGCGGAAAGAGAGGUACAUAGGAUAGACGCUUACAGAACAGAAAGCUUGACUUGUAUCCCUUCCAUGCAAUUAUUUAUUCCUUUAAGAAUUAGGAUGAGAGAGAAAACUUGGCUGAAUGAGAUGAGAUUUUCCUUAUUCAGUUUGAAUUUUCCCUGGCUAAGUAGGACAAUCAUAAAAUAAAACGUAAAAAGGGAGCUCAGAAUUGCCAGAGAGGGACGUCAGUGCCCCACUCAGAGGUAAUAAUAUGGAACCCACCCUAGCAAGGCUUUAGGGAUUAGCGCAAAAUUUAGCAUCAGGAAAGCCCUCUCCAUGCCCGGGAGCCAUGAUUACUAGCUACGUAGACAUUACUGGUGAGUUAAAAACAUUUAUGGGAUAACUCAAACGCUCCCUUCUUGCUCAUGUUCUUUCCUAAAUGAGUGCCCUGGGACUCAGGAUUGCCAUGUGGCGCCAUUCAGAGAAUAUGCUCACAGAUAUGAAAUCCCAUAGAAAGCAAAUGGAGAAAUGAGGAAGGCUUUGGUAUAUCUCUUAAAUCCUAGCCAUCCGAUUCCUUUUAGGCUUAGUCUGGGGUUCAUCGUUCCAUUAUUGACAGAGUCCCGAAGGCCUGGGCUCUCUAUCCCCCCAUCUGGGGGAUGGCGUCUGGCUGGGAACAUAGUCCAGAGCCGUAAAGUAAAUCACUCCAGGGAAGAAACCAAAUCUUGCCUUAGCUUGUCGCUGGCCGAGCCUCAGAGCCUGGGAGAGGACACUCGGAGAGUAGCCUCCCCCAGGACAUGUUCUGUUAUCAUUUUUCACGUACAGUUGGCAUCUCUGUCGGAGACACCAUGUAAAAAGGACACAAGAACCCACAGAGGUCAGCUACGAACUAGAAAAUUCCACAGAGAAGGUCAGAGUGGAUCUUUAGCAAGUGUUCCAAAGUGUUCCCUCAGCUCAGGUUUCAAUGUCAAGGGUUAAGUGUGGAUAUGAAGACAUUAAUCCAAGCAGAGAUUUGCAAGUUACCAUUCUUCAAAGUUAAAGAGAAACAAAAGAACGGAACUUUUUUUGUUAAAUACGCUCUACCGUUAACAUGGGGCUUGAACUCACGCCCCCCCCCCCAGAGGUCGUGAGUUGCAUGCUUUACUGACAGAACCAGCCAGGCUCCCCCAAACUUUUUUUUUUUUAAUGAAUGGAUUCAUUUCCAUAAGGAGACAAUUUAAAAAAUAUAAGAAAUAAGUUGUCUAAGAAACUUGUCACCCACGCUACGCUGAAUGCCUAGGUUGCAAGGUGCCAUCGGCUUUAACAUUUUGUUAUUCCAGUUUUGUUGUUUGCUGAUGACAGGGUUCACAGCAACUUGGCACACUGGAAAUUUUUAGCAGACGGAAUUUGAGUAACGGCAGGUGCGGGAAGGUCUCCCCGACCUCCCCGGUGGCCCCCAAAACAGGUCAUGAGACCCUCACAUGAGAGGUGCCCUCCCUAUACCCAGAGGAAAGGAACAUCCUCAUCUCCAAAGACGGAACAGGGCGCUGAGAGGAAUUCAAACAUAGAGGACUCGCUAGGUUUCCUCCAAGUUUAGGGCAAUUAACUCGUAUCCUUUUGUCCUAUCGUGUUCUCCCACAACUUUCCACUGUCCUCCAAGCCUAGUGUAAAAACAUGCAGGGUUCACCUUUCUCGGGUCUUCUUUUUCUUAUGAAAGCUCCCAUGUCAUGUAAAGCUUAUGUUAAAUACACUUGUGUCCUUUUGUCUGGUGAACCAGAAUUUUGUGAGUCCCAUCUACGGAGCUCCAGCCAGAGAACGUACGAGGGUAGGUGGACAAAGACCUUUCCCUCCCCUGCACUGAACCGGGGCAGGCUUGAGUUGGUUGACUCAUCUCCUCGUCUUUUUGUUUAUUUGUUUUUAAAUGGUUAUUUAUUUUGAGACAGAGAGAGAGAGAGAGAGAGAAUCCCAAGCAGGCUCUGCGCUGUUGACCCAACACGGAGCUCGAUCUCAUGAACGAUUCAUGCCAUUGAGACACGUAAUCACUGAAAUCCUUGGACCCUGAGAAUAUUUAGAUGAUGGGCUCCCGGUGCCCGUUGAUCACAGUUAUUUAGGAAGGACACUGGGGGAGAAGGGCUGGAACAAGAGGGAUCCUUCUGGCGUCCAGAAGUCGUGCUACAGUCAGCAGCUCCGUGCCCUGGACACCUGCCAUCGUCCCUCCCCUUGUUCAAGGGAAAGCCCAGCAAUAAGCAAAGUGGGGAGAAAAGAACUUGGCCAUGGCUUACAAAAAAUGGUAUACCCAUAAUCCUGGAUGCUACAAAGCUGUGCAUUUUCAUCCUCUGGCCCCAUCACCACCCAUUCAAGGACAAAGCUUCCCUCCCCUCCCCACCAACCGGGGGGCCAAUUCAUCUUUCCCUCCUUCAAACGGCGGGGAGUGCAAAUGUCCGGCAACCACUCACUGUCUUGCCCCAAGAUGGCUCCAGAAGCUUCGAGCUGCCCUGAUGCCUGACAUGCUGAGUCCUCCCCGCUCAGUCUUAUUCCAGACACUACCGGAUGUGCCAGACCACCCCCAAAAUGUCCACCCAGGCAGAAAAGAACAUUCCACUACAAAAAGAAGAAGGAGAAGAAGAAGAGAGAGAGAGAAAGAAAGAAAGAAAGAAAGAAAGAAAGAAAGAAAAAGAAAGAAAAGAAAGAAAACAAAAAACUUGGAAAUCUGAUCUUAAAGAUACACAUUUUAGGCGCUCCAGGCGGAGACGUUUGCCAGAGAGAAUGACAGGCCGCUCUCCUGACUGUCCCCGGGGAAAACCUUUACACCUUCUCUCCAGUGGGGCUCCUUCCUGGGAGGAAAAGAAGAUCGAACAAAGGCUUUGCUCCCUCACUCCUACGGGAGUCAUUCUUAGAAAUAAUAAAUGAAGGCAGAUUGAGAGACUUAAUAAAGUCCUCUAAUACAGUUA